AGCAGCCGCGGUAAUUCCAGCUCCAAUAGCGUAUAUUAAAGUUGUUGCAGUUAAAAAGCUCGUAGUUGAAUUUCGGGAUUGACACAUCGGUCGUGCCUUAAGGGGUAUGAACUGGUGUAGUCAAUUUCUCACCUUCUGGAGAACCACGAUGCCCUUAAUUGGGUGUCGCGGGGAACCAGGACCUUUACUUUGAAAAAAUUAGAGUGUUUAAAGCAGGCAUUUUGCUUGAAUACAUUAGCAUGGAAUAAUAAAAUAGGACGGCAUGAUUCUAUUUUGUUGGUUUCUAGGAUCACCGUAAUGAUUAAUAGGGAUAGUUGGGGGCAUUAGUAUUCAAUUGUCAGAGGUGAAAUUCUUGGAUUUAUUGAAGACUAACUACUGCGAAAGCAUUUGCCAAGGAUGUUUUCAUUAAUCAAGAACGAAAGUUAGGGGAUCGAAGACGAUCAGAUACCGUCGUAGUCUUAACCAUAAACUAUGCCGACUAGGAAUCAGACGAUGUUAAUUUUUUAAUGACUCGUUUGGC
rnacentral:misc_RNA from 3 species